AUGAACACUUGGCAGUCACGUGCUGAUGAUUACUCCCUCGUUCAGUGCGGCAUGCUUUACAGCUUAGAACCGGGGCUCCAAAAGCGUUUUGAGAAACACGGAGCAUAUGAGAUGUUCAAGGAGCUGAAAAUGGUUUUUCAAGCUCAUGCCCGGGUCGAGAGAUAUGAAGUCUCCGACAAGUUCUAUAGUUGUAAGAUGGAGGAAAACAGUUCUGUCAGUGAGCACAUACUCAAAAUGUCUGCGUUGCACAACCGCCUGUCCCAGCUGGAGAUCAACCUCGCGGACGAGGCGGUCAUUGACAGAAUCCUUCAGUCGCUCCCACCGAGCUACAAGAGCUUUGUGUUGAACUACAAUAUGAAGGGGAUGGUGAAGACCAUUCCUGAAGUAUUUUCAAUGCUGAAGUCAGCAGAGGUUGAAAUCAAGAAAGAACAUCAAGUGUUGAUGGUCAAUAAGACCACUAAGUUCAAGAAGGGCAAGGGUAAGAAGAACUUCAAGAAGGACGACAAAGAUGUUGCCGCGCUCGGUAAGCCAGUUGCCGGGAAGAAGUCAAAGAAUGGACCCAAGCCUGAGACUGAGUGCUUUUAUUGCAAGGGGAAGGGUCACUGGAAGCGGAACUGCCCCAAAUACUUAGCGGACAAG
rnacentral:rRNA from 1 species